GGUGUAUAGACCUCGACUUACAAGAAUCAAGAAUCACAAUAAAUACAGUGUUUCAAGUUCCAGGAUUGUUGGAAAAUCAGCCAGCAAAUCAAAGUAGAACUGUCUACUGCCAUCUUUUUUAACAGCCGAUCGAGCUGCCCUGUCAACCCUUCGCGGCGCUUGCUUCCUAGCUAGAACUCACACAAUACAAUCAUAAUAAGAUUCAAAUGGAGCACAACACAUGCUCGUUCAGAUGACUAAUUAUGAUGUAUUAAUAUAUCAAGUUAGUAAAAUUACAUAGUAAAUCACUAACCUUGUUUUUGUAUCAAGAAAAUCAUUCAACUUAUACAAGUAACUCCCACUGGAGAAAUCACUUUCUGGAGCAAGAUAACCAACUUGGAUUAAGCACAGUUAUUUUUUCGGGAGCAAUAAGCACAGUUCUGAUGAUAGUCCUCGCUAGUUGUUGUGUAUUUCUAGCUGUUAUCUUACUUCUCAGAUAGUUUAGUUGUCUCUCUAGACUGAGGUCUUUCAGAAAAUUAAUUUUCCUACAUGGAUGUUGUACAGGACCUGUAUCUAAUGGAUCAAAAGAGUGGCCAAUGGAUAUGAGAUUACUCUAAGCAGCAAUUGAAUAACACGAUUUCCAAAUCGAUUACAAAUCACUUACACAAGUAGGUCUUGCAAAAAGUGAUUUACAAAUCGCAAUAGGUGAAACACAAUUUGCAUGCAACUCGUAUUGAUUAACAUAUAUGUCUGAAGUACAUAGAAAUACUUUCUGUAAAAUCUUUCAAGUUGUGAGGUGCUUCAACAUAAGUCUGUUGCUUGAAACCAUGAUUUUCUUCACGACGAACAUAUGACAGUGGUGUAAUAUGUAAGCUAAGUGAAUUUCUGAGAUAAAAGUCCUUAGUUGAGUGACCAUUUGGAUUAUUAACUCUAAUUAUAAUCAAUUUUAAUUUUUAGAGGGGAGAGAACAGUCUAUAUGAGUAUUACUAGGUGUAUCGACUUUGACGAAGAUAUUUCAAGUGAAGAAUUGAAAAAAAAAAAUACCUUGAGUUUGAUGGAACCAAUUUUCCACGAGAAUGUACCCUGCUAAUGGAAGACAAUUCAUGACUUCAAACAUGGCAUGUUGCUCAUAUAUUUAAUACAAUUGAUUCAUUAAGUCCAACUAGACAA
rnacentral:lncRNA from 1 species